rnacentral:rRNA from 1 species
AACGAACGCUGGCGGCAUGCCUAACACAUGCAAGUCGAACGAGACCUUCGGGUCUAGUGGCGCACGGGUGCGUACCGCGUGGGAACCUGCCCUUAGGUUCGGAAUCACUCCCCGAAAGGGGUGCUAAUACCGGUUAAUGUCAUCGGACCAAAGAUUUAUGGCCUUUGGAUGGGCCCGCGUUGGAUUCGCUAGUUGGUAGGGUACAAGCCUACCAAGGCGACGAUCCAGAGCUGGUCUGGGAGGAGGACCAGCCACGCUUGGGCUACGACACGGCCCAGACUCCUACGGAAGGCAGCAGAGUGGUAUAUUAUAGGCGGGGCGCUGGUCUGAUCCAGCAGUGCCGGGGAAGUGAGGAAUGCCGUAGUGUUGUAAUGCUCUUUUAGCCGGGGUGUGAAUGACAGUACCGGGUAAAUAAGCACCGGCUAACUCCGUG